UGGGUAAUAGCUCAGUGGUAGAGCAUGUGCUUAACAUGCAUGAGAUCCUGGGUUUAAUCCCUAGUACCUCCA
rnacentral:tRNA from 1 species